rnacentral:tRNA from 1 species
GGAGUAAUGGCAGAGUUGGUCAAUGCGCUGGAUUGAAGUCCCAGAGAUAUAGGUUCGAAUCCUAUUUAUUCCA